rnacentral:lncRNA from 1 species
UUGUAGAUUUCCCUUUUCAUAUUGCUUAAACACUAGAGAUCAAUAAGUCUAAUAUAAACAGAUGAUUUCCAUAGCAGGGUUUAUAAUUAGCUGGCACUGAAUGUGUCCAAACUCUAAAAUAAUUAGCAGAAGCAUGUGGCACACCAUUAAAACCUUGUGGCUUGUCUGCAUUUACAUUUAUAAUUAUUAAAGUUAAUUAUGAUGCUUG